AUAAAGAUUCAAACUUUUUUGUUUUUAAAAUUCGAAAAAGCUCUUAUCCACCCUAUGGAAAAGUUCGAAAAAAAUAAUUUAAGAUUACAUAAUUUGUUUCACGACAGUGGGAAUAUCCGCUGUUGACGAAGACGUGGAAAAAAUAUUGGAAAACCGCGUGCUUCAUCUACGUCCUUCAAAUAUGAAUGGAAUUGACAAAAUCGAAACUUUGAGUGAAUAUUUCCAUAAAAUUGUUAUGGCUGAAAAAAGCGGUAAGUAAAA